rnacentral:rRNA from 1 species
GACAGAGGUGCCAAGCGUUAGGCGGAAUCACUGGGCGUAAAGCGUGCGUAGACGGCUAUCUAAGUCGGGUGUGAAAGCCCCGGGCUCAACCUGGGAAUUGCAUUCGAGACUGAAUAGCUAGGGUACGGUAGAGGGAAGUGGAAUUUCCGGUGUAGCGGUGAAAUGCGUAGAUAUCGGAAGGAACACCGGUGGCGAAGGCGGUUCUCUGGGCCUUACCUGACGCUGGAGGAGCGAAAGCGUGGGGAGCAAACAGG